ensembl:lncRNA
AACCACCAUCAGAUAGAACCACCAUCCACAGAAGCCUGUGGGGAGGGAGAGCACAGAGACUUUAGGAGAGGGUAAUGUUGGUUUACGAGUACAGUAAUAUGAUUAAUAUCUAAAAUAAUAAUGAUGAUGAUGAUGAUGGCAGCAGCAAGCGUCAGCAGGGCCACGGCAGGUGUCAGGACCAGGGUCCAGAAGGAACUACGAUCUACGGACACCUGCUAGGGGAGAAAGCACAAAAAAAAACUCCCGGAAAGAAGCUGAAUUAGUCAUGUGCAUCAAUAAAAUGUGAAUUAUAACUAUAAAAAUACAUGGUUACAAUUUGGGUGGAGGUUAUACUAAAAAACAAAUCCGUUUAAAAGACUGGAAUCAAUAAACAGAAGGAUAAAACUAAUUAAUUUGAUAAUGGGGAGAUCAGAAUAAUGAAUGUAUACACAUCCAAUUUGAAUUUGACUCGCCUUAAACUGUGGCCUCAACCUACAUUUAGAGUGGUGGCCAUUUGUCCUUGGGAUUAAUAAACAACUUGUGUCAAAGGGCCACUGAUGCACCACUGGUUUGUUCUUUCCAUGUAGAAAGAGCAGGUUUUCCAAGCAGGCUUUUCUUUUGACAUUUAUUUUGCUAACAAGAAGAGCCAACAAACAUAACAUAAUUCCUAUGCCUGUCUUUUUACACUGCUUAAAACUAUGUUUAUUUAAUGAAAAGAUGGUACAGUUGGAAACUGAGAGUGCAUAGAAUAUGUAUGUUAAAAACAAUGUUAAUGCUAAACUUAAAAGUGUGAAAUGACAAUGUCAAAAAUCUAACUCAGUUCAUUCUGAGGGUCUUUUCCCUCUUAGUUGAAUGCACUUUAGAUAAAAACAUGAGCUAAAUGUGAUAGUCCCAAAGGAAAAAUGUAUGUGGCUUCAUCUGCUUGAAUAAUUUGUUUGUUUUAAUUAACUAUUUAAUAUAUUGAAUAUGUCAGUUUCAUAUUUGAGGCUCUAGAAUAUUGUGCCAAUGUGCCAGUAUUAUUUCAGAUGGGGAAAGUAUAGAGAGCAAUGCUAUUUUAUAUUCUGUUUUUGACAGAGUUCUUAAAACUUGGAGAAGGUUAUUGAGGUUAAAAUUGCUCCCGUUGUACUUAAGUUACAAAAUAUCUUUCUUGUGUCUAAUGCAGCCGACGGUGAGAUUUUGCAGGAGUUUAACUAUUUGAUUGGUUAUGCCUGUGCCGAUUACUCAAAAGACUAUUAGUCAAGUAUUAAGAGAUAAUGGAUGCCAGUUUGACCUGUCAGUAGUUCAAGAGAUAGCCAGAGCGAUCUGUGAGACAAACCUUGUUAGAAGCAAUUGGUGAAACAGGUCUACUUUCCAGUGCCUGGAGGAGAGAGGUUUACUUUGAUGUAGUGGAACCAGUAGGCAAGUCAAGGCAAGGCAAUUUUAUUUGUAUAGCACAUUUCAACACCAAGGCAAUUCAAAGUGCUUCACCAGUAGAAUAAAUACUCAAACCAAAAAGAUAGUAAGUAAUACAAAAAUAAGUAAUUCCAAAAUAUUUCAAUUUUAAAGCCUUUGCUGCUAAUUCAACAUUUUGUAAAUGUGCUCCUUUCCAUUUCCGAGAGACAUCAAUUUCAGAUUGCAAAUCAUUUACAUGCAUGUAGCUUUACGAGACCUCCAUUGGAAGUGGCAAACGUUUCAACUCUUCACAUUGAUGUUCUUAACAAGGAGAUCUCAAAUUCCGUGAAACAAAAGUCUUCAACCAUGGGCAUGAAAGCUUGGCCAAAAGUGUGGCGUACAAUGGACUAAACUACAGGUGUGUGAUGAUUUUGAUCCAUGGCUUACUCAGUGCACGGCCAGAGUUUGUUAAAAGCAUCUAAAUGGUGCUAUUGCAAAACAGCUUCAUCCUUGUUGUGAAGAAGCUCAGCCUGUACGAUUAUAAAUAAAUGAUUUGAAUAAUCGUUUUCAAUGUGUGGCGAGUGAGGAAAUGUCCUUCCUGAGCUACCGUAGGCUCAGGCAGUCUUUGGUACCUCCUACUUCCUGGUUCACCCAUUAGAACGGGUAUAAAAGCUGCACAUAAUGAAGCUGCUGUCACCACGCUUGUCCCUUUCUGUGUUUGAGGCUGGCUGGAGAAUCCAAUGAGCUGGGGGUGUUUGAGGCUGUCUGCAGAGUAGCAUCCCAGAUGACUGCUAUGGCUGGUUCCACACACACAGAAUCAAGAUGAACAUUGGAAAAAACAAACUUCCAAAUGGCUUGCCAAAGUCACUAGAUAUCUUUACUGCAAGAUGAAGACAACCUUUAGGUUAAAGGGCAGCCUCUCACUUCAAUACAUGGACCAAGAUUUUGGCAAUUACUUUUUAAUCUACACUCUACCACUGAAUUUCAGGGACAAGUAGCAGGCCAAACGGUUGGUUCAAUAUGCGUUGGGCAAGAAACCUGGUGGAGACCGUGGUGCCAUGAGCGCAAACAAAAGAGUCUUGUAGGACGCAAUUGCUGAUAAUGGGCGGUCGACCAACUGACAGAACCGUACAGGUCAAAGGAGGCUCAUAGAUCUUGGGGAGAAGAUGGGCGAGGCCUGGGCUCUUCAUUAAAGUAUUCUUUGUAUGUAUUUCUUGUCGUGCAGGCUGUGUAAUGGCUCUAAUAAAAUGUCUUUCUAACUGUAAAGAAUGCUUGAGUGUUGAGGCCUGUCCUGAAGAACUAUUUGGAUCCUUUAUCUGCUGUUUGCUGUUGGCCAAUGUGUUAGUAUUGCGAAAUAACGUUAGCCUGUGGGCAAGUAGAUGCCAUCCUGUCAGUGUUCCAGAGAUUUUUCAGAAUGGGUUGUGAUUCCAUGCAGGAUGGUCCAGAGAAGGCAGCAGGCUCCUGCCUUGAGGAUCCCAAGAAGUGGUCAAGCAGUUUCAGCCUCCUGUGACGGUGGAAAUAACCAGCAGUCUUUAGUGAUUUGAGUGAACGGUAAGACUUUUUUCCAAUAUGGUUUUUGAUAUGUAAUGCUUGUUAUGCAGUGUGACAGGUCUAAUAAAACUUUCAAUUUUUCAAACUGUCUAGAGCCUGACUGUUGCAUAAUGUGUCAACUGAAUCUUCUAAUAUGUAGCAUGUCCUGAACUAUGCCACCCUCUUUAGCUGCGUCAUUUAAUAUUUGUAGUUUCUCCUCGAUGUUCAAAAAGCUGCCAUCAGUGUUCAGAAAACAUUCCGGUUGGGUAAAGUAGUUCUAUGAUUCCACGCAGGACGGUCCACAGAAGACAACAGGGUCUCAUGUGAAAAUUGCCUGCUGACUGAGAGGUAAGACCCUUUCUCAAUACUGCUUUUAUAUCAUGCUGUGAAAGUCUAAUACAAAGUUCUGUUAGAAUGCCUGACGGAAGAUUGGUUAACUGCAUCUGCUGUAAUAUGUACUGAACUAAUCCAGUCUGUAUCUGCGCUUUCCCAAUGAGUAAAAAGAUGCAUUCUUGUCCCUGUUUAAAUAUUUCUUGUUUGCUAAAGUGCUGUUCUACCACACAGGACAAUUCGUAGAACAAAACAAGCUCCUGCUUCAGGGGCAAGCAGCUUUAGCCUCCUGUGGAAAUCGCCAAGUUGGCAAUUUCCACAACAGGUAAGACUUUUUUCCCAGUAAUGGUUAUCAUGCAGGCUGUGUGACAGGUCUAGAAAGUGUUUGCAACUGUAUGAUUGCAUAAUGUGUUAACUUGCGGUGCAUCUUGUCUUUGGUUGCAUGUCCUGAACUAUUCUGUUUGAACUCUUUUCCAUUGGCCAGCAAUGUGUUUGUAUUGCUAAAUGUAACACACUGCAGGUGCAAGAAGAUCAUGUCAGUGUUUAAAGACUUUUC